rnacentral:rRNA from 1 species
UACGUAGGUGGCAAGCGUUGUCCGGAAUCAUUGGGCGUAAAGCGCGUGUAGGCGGUUCGAUAAGUCUGCUGUGAAAGUCCAGGGCUCAACCCUGGAAAGCCGGUGGAUACUGUCGGACUAGAGUACGGAAGAGGCGAGUGGAAUUCCCGGUGUAGCGGUGAAAUGUGUAGAGAUCGGGAGGAACACCGGUGGCGAAGGCGGGUCUCUGGGCAAUUCCUGACGCUGAGGCGCGAAAGCGUGGGGAGCAAACGGG